AUUGAACGCUGGCGGCAGGCCUAACACAUGCAAGUCGAGCGGAGCGGCGGACGGGUGAGUAAUGCCUAGGAAUCUGCCUGGUAGUGGGGGAUAACGUCCGGAAACGGGCGCUAAUAUCGCAUACUAUCAGAUGAGCCUAGGUCGGAUUAGCUAGUUGGUGGGGUAAAGGCCUACCAAGGCGACAAUCCGUAACUGGUCUGGGAGGAUGAUCAAUCACAAUGGAACCUGAGCAAGGUCCAGAAUGCCAAGGGAGGCAGGAGUUGGGAAUAUUGGACAAUGGGCGAAAGCCUGAUCCAGCCAUGCCGCGUGUGUGAAGAAGGUCUUCGGAUUGUAAAGCACUUUAAGUUGGGAGGCGUUACCAACAGAAUAAGCACCGGCUAACUUCGUGCCAGCAGCCGCGGUAAUAC
rnacentral:rRNA from 1 species